rnacentral:rRNA from 1 species
GGAGGUAGUGACAAUAAAUCACAAUGCGGAACUUUUGUUUUGCAAUUGGAUUGAGAACAACGCACAACACUUAUCGAUAAACAAUUGGAGGGCAAGUCUGGUGCCAGCAGCCGCGGUAAUUCCAGCUCCAAUAGCGUAUAUUAACGUUGUUGCAGUUAAAAAGCUCGUAGUUGAAGUGAAGUAAUGAAGUUGUGACUUGAUUUAUCAUUUCGCUUCUUAACUACUCUUUCCAAAUUGUUUGCACGGGUAUUCAUUUACUUGUGUAUUGCAUUUGGUCAUUUACUGUGAGAAAAUUAGAGUGUUCAAAGCAUACGUUUGUUUGAAUACAUUAGCAUGGAAUAAUUCGAAAAGGCUUUCAUGUUCGAUUUGAUUGGUUUGUUCGUGAGAGCAAGAUUAAAAGGGACAGUUGGGGGUAUUCAUAUUCAAUAGUCAGAGGCGAAAUUCUCGGAUUUAUGGAAGAUGAACAAGUGCGAAAGCA